rnacentral:rRNA from 1 species
AUGGGAGGAGCUGUGGCGCUCAUCCCCUCGAUGCGCUACACGGAUAAACCACCUGCUUCUGAACUCUCCGUCUGCUCCUACAUGCAUACUCUGAACGUCUUUUCAGUAAAACUUGCUGGAAUAGACGAUUCUCUACGGUGGCCAUUGCAUGUGUUCGGUGUCGUUGCUGCCCGCGACUAUCUGGAUCACAAUCGCAAUAUAAUAUUUCUUCAGGACAGGGAUAACUGCCAAAUCAUCCACCAGAAGGAUCCAUAUCUAGAACUGACAGGUCCUACACGUGGUGUUGUGGUGGUGGAUCCUACGGAAUUCGAGGUUAAAUUGAAAGUUAAGGGCUCUACUGAAUCUGAGGACAGGGAUUUAAGCUUUCUCAUUACACGGUACAAUUGUUACGACUCGGAGAAUCGUUCACGCGUGAUUAAUAGAGUUAUGACUAGCCUGCUUAGUACACUGGAGCUGACAUUUGGCCACAUUGUUCGCUCGGUGGAGGCCACGAUCAGUGUGAGAUUCAUAGGUGGGACAUGGCCAGAUGGUUUCCGAGGUGUAUUUACCGCAAGUACCGCCAGCAUACAUCACAUGGAGGUCACGUUGCUUGCUUUUCGAGAUGGUAUAUUACGUGUUGAUUCCUGUGGCAUGAUCGCGCUUUCACGAGACGUUGCUUGCGUUGACCUUGAUGGAAAGCUGAAAGUUUCUGUCGCGGCGCGAGGUGAAGACAAGGAAGCUGUUGGAGAGAGUGCUGAUAUGGUUUUCACGCCUAAGAAAGCUGGUAGAAGCUGUGGUAUCAUGAAGAUUGGGUCAUGCGAGAUGGAAGUCACUGUGGCCUGGUCUGUUUUCACGGCUUGCAUGUUUGCCCGUGAUCCCAGUGCAUGCCUAGCCGUCUGGGAUCCCUUUUUUCGGCCCUCUGAUUCUGAUUAG